CAUUUUUUUUUUCCUUUUUGAAAAAAAAUGCAAGGCUAACCCCAUACUGUCUGUAAGAGUUGAGCCAGAUGAAAUUGUACAUUCAUUCCUUAUGCACAAAGUUCCCCAGUUUUGCUUGUUGUAGCAAAAGUUUGUUGCACUUGAUUUUUUUUUUCUGGCUGUAUUUCUGCAAGUGUUGAAUAUUCAAUGAGGGCUAAGAAGUCCUUAAUUUGCAUUUGAAGUAACAUCUAGGGCUGUAGAAUUUGGACCAUGCAGCAAAGACUCCAGAGGGUAGUACACACAAUGAGAUUGGAAUGUAGACAAUUAUUGGGUGGGGCCUUUUGUAGUUCCAUGUGUGCAUUGGGGUGUGAAGCAGUGGUGUGUACAUCAGGGUGCCUUGCACAUCUACCCAUUCAGUUGUGUGGCUGCCUAUUGCUGUUGCAACAUUCGCUAGUGGUCAAGCUCUGUCCAGUUCUAGCAAGCGCACUGCAUUUCCAUCAGAGCUUUGGGUUUUGCCAAAAUGUGUGUUAUCUAGUUCUGCUUGCUACACAAGUAUUGGUCUUCAGACUCCUCAGUUUGACUCUGUGACUGGUGAUGGACUGCAGGCAACGAUGGAGGCAACAUAUCUGUCCAUAGUCUCCUUAAUGAGUGGCGGUUAACUACAAGGUGGCUGUGCGGUUGACUACCGGAUGUGUCUCGUCUCAGUACAUGGAUGGUGGAGACGCUCUGUAAGCUGACGUGUGUAUGGCUAAUGGUUGAUGUGGGCGUGGCUUCUUUGCUUGUGGGCGUGGCUACUCUGUGUGCGUUUACAGUUAAGCAGGUUCUGCACAUCCAAAGUGGACACAAGAGCCGAUGCAAGAUAGCAGAUUGAACAUUUGAUGCAAGAUAGCAGAUUGAACAUUUGAUGCACGAUAGCAGAUUGAACAUUUGA